ACUGAAUAAUGAAAAUGAGGAAAAUGUCCAAAAAAAUGACACUUGUCUGUCAAUUCUUGACACUUACUUGUCAGAUAGAAAUUAUGCCCUUCCCACACCUGUUUUGUUAAUAUACCUUUUUAAGUAAUGAAUACAGUAGAAAUAUGUACAAUGAUCGAGCGCAUAAUUCUUAUAUCCCAUUGUAAGGAAAUAACCCAUGGGAAGUUUAUAUAAAGGUAUUUUAUACAGUCUUGUCUCAAGCGGUAGUUUCGUUGCGUUUUGUUUCAGUAUCAGGCUAGCUCGGUUGACCAGUUAUAUAGCAACCUUUGAACAACUGUUUUGAAGUUGUCAAUGUCAUAUGAUGAACAUAACAUAACCUAGAUUUGGGCUAUCUUCAUUUUCUAAUUUUACAAAAUUGGAUUAUUCAAUCCUGAAAAUUUAAGACUAUAAAAUAUAGACUUAUAUCAGGAAAUAUGAAAAAGUAUGCUCGGAAUGUGUUGUAUGACAAACUCCACAGAGGGGGUGUGCUAGUUUGUGUUGGCCUGACUCUCUAUGGUUCAGUACUCUUAGGUGACCAUUUCUAUAAGUAUUUCAAAUAUGUCCGACCUCAAAUACAAGCUAGUAAGGAAGCUGCUGAGAAAGAACUCCUAGCAGAAGGAUCAUCUGAAAGACUUCUGUAAAAUGUGAUCCUCAUGCAUAUUGUGUUUACUUAGAAUAAUAAUUUAAGCUGUAAAUGUAAUUAUUAGUUAGUUUUGAUGUUAUUUUAUUAAAAUCAAUGCCUAAGUAA